UGUCACAAAUAUGAUGUUAUCUAAGAUAUUAGUAAUACAUUAGAUAAUAUUACUAUUAGGGGUACAAUGUGUAUACACAAGUUUUCGGCAUUUUUGGAAAACCCAACAAACACAUAAAGUAUGCAUUUUAUUAUGUCUUGUGUCUUAAUCAUUAAUGUAACCGCCCUAAGAGGCAAUGGUGGUUUCCAGGGGCUUUAGAUAUAGUCUUUUGCCAUUGUGUCUCAAUGUUGUCCGACAGUGGCUUUGAGGGCCUCGGUGUUUGGAUGACAAACACUGCAGGCCUUACCCAAAACCCAAAAGGUUGGCAUCAAGGUGUAGGUGGGACAAAAGUGUGAAAAAAGAGUUCUAAGGAACUCAAAAUUCAAAAGACUAAAUCGAAAGAGUCUUGCAACGGAGGAGAUGGGUUUAUUUCAUUGCUGGUAUCAAAAGACUCUUUCUUCCACUUUUUUGAUAGGUCUUUGGACAAUCUGCUGUGAAAUCCCGAGGUCUCUAACAGGUAUCCUCGUGGACUUUAGGGGAUUGGCCUGGGAUGUUUCCUCUAACACCUACUAGUCCAACUUGGCCUUUUUAACAGAGCCAACAGAUAGUGUCCUCCAAAGGAUUCAUAUCAGGGCUCUGAGGAGGCCAGAAGUUGUCAGGCCAAAACUCCAUGUUCUCUUCCAUCCAGGCUUGUACAAAAUUGGUUUUGUGGGCGGAUACCCCCAUCCUGAUGGAAGAGGUAGGACGCCUUGCCCGACUUUUUGGUGAUCUUGAGAACCUACGGGAGUACCUUGGUCUUCAUGAUCUCGAAGUAGUCGGAUUAGGGGUCUUACGUCUCCCAACAGAAUGGAGCACCCGCCCAUCCGUCUUGGACACGUGGCAGAGGUCUUCAGAUGUUUAUUCAAAGCAAAUAACCCGAUUGUUUUGCUUGUUGAAGAUGGAGUCGACAGUUUUUUAUCCGACAAGAAGAUCACACGGUUGCCAAGAUGCUUCAGAUCGUUUAGGAUGCGUUUGACCAACUCCAAACGGACAUCUUGUUGCUGUUCAGUCAUUAAUGGUCUUUCCACGUACCUCUUGGAGUUUUCCCCGGCGGCUUUUAUCACCCUAGACAAUGUGGAGGGAGCCACAUACUUCUUUUUUGCAAAUUUGGUCAUGGAUAUGGUGGGCUUGGUCUCAAGUGCCUUCUUGGCCACUUGGGAUUCAGUUUGGCCUGCCUUUCACUACUGGGCUCGAUUUUAAGGGUUUUCCCAAUUUUGAUGAGCUUUCUAACCCUGUAAACAGUGAGCCUCUCGAUCCCAACAAAUUAGACAAUUGCAGGUGUGAUGUGGCAGAAAUGAUAAAGGCGAUUGCAAUAGUCCAUUCGAAAGCUUAAAAAGUCAGCUGUUGCGUGAAACAUUACGCAGAAAUUUACGAAUUAAAAUCACUAUACCUCGAAAAAUCAAUCCAUAGUAGUGGUACAUCCAUUUCGCACGACCCGGUAUGUAAGCUAGAAAGCUCAGAUUUGGUUUGUUUUUUAAUUAAUUGCUUAUACUUUAAUAUAUUUUAAUCACUGAA
rnacentral:lncRNA from 1 species